rfam:Gossypium raimondii Chr02_contig_630, whole genome shotgun sequence.
UGUUAAAAAAAUAUCUAUUUGUAUUGUUAAAAAUUAAUGUAGUUGACAGAAUAACUAGAUAGUAACAUAUGGUGUGCUAUGUUUACCUUAUAUUAACAUAUAGGAACUAGUUUUUAACAAUAAAAAUAGAUGAAAUUUUUAAGA